GAAUAUUGGACAAUGGGCGCAAGCCUGAUCCAGCCAUGCCGCGUGUGUGAAGAAGGCCUUCGGGUUGUAAAGCACUUUUGUUGGGGAAGAAAAGAUCGGGGUUAAUAACCUCGGUACAUGACGUUACCCAAAGAAUAAGCACCGGCCAACUUAGUGCCAGCAGCCGCGGUAAUACGAAGGGUGCAAGCGUUACUCGGAAUUACUGGGCGUAAAGCGUGCGUAGGGGGUUUGUUAAGUCUGCCGUGAAAGCCCCGGGCUCAACCUGGGAAUUGCGGUGGAUACUGGCAGGCUAGAGUACGGUAGAGGAUGGUGGAAUUCCCGGUGUAGCAGUGAAAUGCGUAGAGAUCGGGAGGAACAUCUAUGGCGAAGGCAGCCAUCUGGACCAGUACUGACGCUGAGGCACGAAAGCGUGGGGAGCAAACAGG
rnacentral:rRNA from 1 species